GCAGUAGCUCAGUAGGACAGCAUCUGCUUUGUGUGCAGAAGGUUGCAGGUUCAAACCCCAGCAUCUCCA